rnacentral:rRNA from 1 species
UACGUAGGGGGCUAGCGUUGUCCGGAUUUAUUGGGCGUAAAGAGCGCGUAGGCGGCCGAGUAAGUCCGACGUGAAAUCUGGAGGCUCAACCUCCAGCGGUCGUUGGAAACUACUCGGCUAGAGUCCGGAAGAGGAGAGUGGAAUUCCUGGUGUAGCGGUGAAAUGCGCAGAUAUCAGGAGGAACACCGAUGGCGAAGGCAGGUCUCUGGGCCACUACUGACGCUGAGAAGCGAAAGCAUGGGGAGCGAACAGG